rnacentral:rRNA from 1 species
UACGUAGGGGGCAAGCGUUAUCCGGAUUUACUGGGUGUAAAGGGAGCGUAGACGGAUAAGCAAGUCUGAUGUGAAAAUCCGGGGCCCAACCCCGGAAUUGCAUUGGAAACUGCAUAUCUAGAGUGUCGGAGAGGCAAGUGGAAUUCCUGGUGUAGCGGUGAAAUGCGUAGAUAUCAGGAGGAACACCAAUGGCGAAGGCAGGUCUCUGGGCCGUUACUGACGCUGAGGAGCCAAAGCGUGGGGAGCGAACAGG